rnacentral:rRNA from 1 species
GCUGUCGCUAUGGGGAUGGCCCCGCGGUGCAUUAGCUAGUUGGGUAAAGGGUAAAAGGGCUUACCAAGGCGAUGAUGCAUAGCCCGAGUUGAGAGACUGAUCGGCCACAUUGGGACUGAGACACGGCCCAAACUCCUACGGGAGGCAGCAGUAGGGAAUCUUCCACAAUGGACGCAAGUCUGAUGGAGCAACGCCGCGUGAGUGAAGAAGGUUUUCGGAUCGUAAAGCUCUGUUGUUGGUGAAGAAGGAUAGAGGUAGUAACUGGCCUUUAUUUGACGGUAAUCAACCAGAAAGUCACGGGCUAACUACGUGCCAGCAGCCGCGGUAAAU